CGUUAACCCUUCGCUUCCCAAGGGCUUGGGGUACGAGGGCCCCGCCAUUCCUUCCUCCCCAGAAACCCAGGCUCGGCUGGGAACGGUAACCCGGGUUGUAUCUUGGCUGCAUAGGAAGUAGGAGUUGUGACCCAGGAGUCGGAAUUCAGAGCCCCAAGGAGGUUGACAAGCUCGUAAUUGGCCCCGUUCCCCGGAAACAAGGUCCGGAUCUUGCUCGUCUUGGACCUCGGCAUCAUCCUCAACUUGCCAGUUAGCGGGCUUCCCCCUUCCCCCGCCUCCUGGGUUUGUCGAGGGUGGGCGGGGGAUUCUACAUCGCGGGCGAAAAUGCCCCCUAGGGGCGGUUUCGAAAUGUGCCGGGGCAUUUUUGGGGUGUCCCAAUUGCAAGGUACAGCCCCUGUCGUUUUGAAGGUAGGGAGCAGGCCCGCGUGAAGAAUUGUCCCGCCCAGGACGUCCGUGGUCUCUCGGUUGAGAAGCCCUUUCACAUGAUGCUUAUACCGUGGCUGGCAUAUAAUGUGAGAGUGGCGUGGGGAGAAUCUAGAAGGAGCUUGGGCAGCAGGGAAACUCAAGCACACAAAAGGGGAGACAGCAGCCCAACUCCUAUCCAAAGGCUUUGAGACACAACUAAGAUCACAAGAUGCCUACCACCCUGCCUCCGAGAGUCUAUGCUCCAGAAAUUCCAGCAUCAGCACAGGAAGAGUUACGAUAAGGAAGUUCACCGUGACAGGGUUUGGAACAACAAGAAACGGGG